rnacentral:rRNA from 1 species
AUUGAACGCUGGCGGCAUGCCUUACACAUGCAAGUCGAACGGUAACAGGUCUUUCGGGAUGCUGACGAGUGGCGAACGGGUGAGUAAUACAUCGGAACGUGCCUAGUAGUGGGGGAUAACUACUCGAAAGAGUGGCUAAUACCGCAUGAGAUCUAUGGAUGAAAGCAGGGGACCUUCGGGCCUUGCGCUACUAGAGCGGCCGAUGGCAGAUUAGGUAGUUGGUGGGAUAAAAGCUUACCAAGCCUGCGAUCUGUAGCUGGUCUGAGAGGACGAUCAGCCACACUGGGACUGAGACACGGCCCAGACUCCUACGGGAGGCAGCAGUGGGGAAUUUUGGACAAUGGGCGCAAGCCUGAUCCAGCAAUGCCGCGUGCAGGAUGAAGGCCUUCGGGUUGUAAACUGCUUUUGUACGGAACGAAAAGUCUUGGGUUAAUACCCUGGGAUCAUGACGGUACCGUAAGAAUAAGCACCGGCUAACUACGUGCCAGCCGCCGCGGUAA